ensembl:lncRNA
GUUUCCGCCCCUGUCCUCAGAGGAAUUUUGGGAAGAUAAAUGAUAGGUUCGUGUCUUCAUUCCUGUGAACCUUUUACUUGUGUUUUCCAGGGAGACACCGGACCAAAAAUUUUUUGUUGCUGUGGUUGCAAGCUUUGGGACCCAUAACAAUGACACCAGAUGCACUGGAGUGGCUGAACGCAGAGGAAACGCGGAGGUCGUUCUGAUCGACAGCAGAGGCCACAACACGACCCUGAAAAAUGCAUUGUACAUCCCUUCCUACCCGCAAGACAUUUUUUCAGUGAAAGCAGCUACUUCGAGUGCAGCAACGGUGAUCUUCAAGCAGGGAAAAGAUCUCCUAUAACACAAGGACGGUACAAACUUUCAUAUUCAUGUGUGUAACAGUCUAUAUUAUCUACAGACACUAAGUGAUGAAUGUACUGACAAACGUAGCAGUUGUCACGACCUACUGAAAUGGCAUGAGAUCCUAGGACACUGUAAUUAUGAUGACAUCCAAAAGUUAGAGUGUUGUUAAAGGCAUGACAAUCAAGGGUAAAGUAGAUAAAACUCCACAUUGUGAAGUGUGCACUCAGGGAAAGUUUACCCAAACUAGGAACUGGGAGCAUGAUGUAAGAGCCAAAACAGCUUUAGAGCUGGUACACACAGACAUAGCGGGACCAAUAGACCCAGAGUCUAGAGAUGGACAUAGGUUUACAUUAUCAUUCACUGAUGACUAUUCCAGUGCAGUGUUUGUAUACUUUUUAAAGAACAAGAGUGACAGUACAAGCAACAGAGAAGUUUCUUGCUGAUACAGCCCCAUAUGGGAAGAUCAAACAUAUCAGAUCUGACAAUGGUGCAGAGUUCAUGGGCAAAAGUUAUCCGGCGUUACUGAGCAAAAACGGGAUUAGACAUGAAACCUCAGUACCUUAUUCACCACACCAGUAUGGUACUGCUGAGCGAAGCUGGUGAACUCUCUUUGACAUGGCUAGGUGUAUGUUGAUAGAGAGUGACCUGCCAAAAGAGUUAUGGACCUAUGCAGUGCAGACAGCAGCUGUAGUGAGGAACAGAUGCUUUAACAAUCGCACAAAGCAAACACCAUAUUUCAUGCUGACUGGAAGAAGGUCUGACAUUUCCAAAAUACAAAAAUUUGGAUCAGUAUGUUAUGCUGAUAAACAGGACAAAGGAAAACUAGACUCAAGGAAUGAGAAGGGGAUAUUUGUCGGUUACGACAAGAACAGCCCAGCCUACAUGGUUUACACUCCUGACAAUGGAAAGGUGCAGAAGCACAGACUGGUGAAGUUUGUAACCAAAACACAUGUUGAGCAUCAGACACACACAGACAUAGCAUUUGAUGGUGAUGACUUUGAGGUACAGAACAGGGUGAACAGGAAUAGACAAAGAAAUGAGGAGAGUCCAGGACAUAGUGGAGACCAGGUUCCAGACACUAUACCUGAGGUGAACAGCCAAGGGCAAACAGAUGAGACCAAACAUGAGCAGAAGUGAUACCCUUCCAGAGUGAGAAACAAGCCAGGUUACUUAAGUGAAUAUGUAUCUGGUGAUGAAAGUGAGGAUCAGGUACUGAUGAACAUAGAUCACUGUUACAAACUGAUGUGUAACGUACCUUUAACAUUCAGGGAAGCUGUAACCUUACCUAAAUCAAGGGAAUGGGUUAUUGCAAUAGAUGAAGAGAUCCAAUCACUGAGAGAAAAUAACACAUUUACCCUGAUAAAAUUGCCUGAAAGUUAGAAAGUAGUGGGGGGUAAAUGGGUGUAUGCCAUCAAGAACAAUGUGGAUGGAACUCACAAAUACAAGGCACGAUAUGUAGCCAAAGGAUACAGUCAAAAAGUAGGUGUAGAUUAUGAUGAAACAUUUGCUCCUACUGCUAACAUGGCCAGUGUAAGAGUGUUGAUGCAAAAAGCAGCACAGGCAAACCUGAUUUUACAUCAGAUGGAUGUCAAAACUGCCUACCUACAUGCACCAAUAGAUUGCGAGGUUUACUUGGAACAGCCAAAAGGUUAUGAAGAGAAAUCUAGCACAAACAAAAGGUUGGUGUAUAAGCAGGAAAAGUCCCUAUAUGGACUGAAACAAUCCGGCAGAAAUUGGAACAAAACUCUACAUGAGUAUCUGAGUGAAAACAAAUUUUCACAAAGCCCUGUUGAUCAUUGUGUUUACACGAGGGAGACAGAAAAUGAGAAGAUGAUCAUGAUAAUAUGGGGUGAUGAUUUAUUAAUUGCUGCAAGUGAUGAAAAUGCACUGAAUAUUGUGACAGAAAUGCUCACAGCAAGAUUCAUGAUGAAGGACUUGGGAAAACUGACACAUUUCCUGGUAUUGAUUUUGACCAAAGUGAUGGAUGUGUAAAAAUGUCACAGAAGAAAUAUGUUGAAAGGAUUCUUGAAAGUUUUGACAUGCAAAAUUGUAAAGCUAGAGAGACACCUUGCAAACAAAAACUGAACUAUGCUGAUGACGCAGAAAUGUGUGAUAUCAGAAAAUACAGAGAGGCUGUUGGAAGCUUACUUUAUCUUGCAGCAUGUACAAGACCUGACCUGAAUUUUGUUGUAAGUAAACUUUCACAGUACUUUACUGAACCAACCGAAGAGCAAUGGACUACUGUUAAACAUGUACUGAGAUAUCUAAAGGGGACAGCUGAGAAAGAGUUGUGUUACAGGAAAUGCAACAUGAAAAGAUGAGACUACACGCUUACAGUGAUGCGGAUUGGGCAGCUGAUAUAAUUGACAGAUGAAUGGUGCGUUGAUUUCUUGGAAGACCAAAAGGCAGCCUACUGUUGCCCUUUCCAUGUACGAGGCUGAAUAUAUGGCGUUAGCUGCUACUACUCAAGAGUGUAUGUACCUAGUGCAACUACUAGAUGGCAUUGACAAAUGUAAAUACGCACUUCCUAAAGUCUAUGAAGAUAAUCAGGGUAUAAUAGCUUUAGCUAAAAAUCCUGUGAAUAGACAGAGAUGCUAGCAUGUUGACAUCAAAUGUCAUUUUGUAAGGUCAACUGCAAAUGAUGGGAAAAUAAGUUUGGAGUAUUGUCCAACAGACCUGAUGGUUGCAGAUGUUAUGACAAAGCCUGCAACAAAAUUUAAAUAGAUUAAGUUUGCAAAGUUUAUGUUUGGAGAUCAGUUAUGUAUAUGAAAAUGUACAUGAUCCAGAGUUGAGGCUUUAUGAUGUUUGCUUAAAAUCACAAUGUCAGAGCAAGUGGAGGUGUUGACAUAUAUGAAAAGUGUGCUCUCAAUUUGUGGAAAUGGACUUCUAUUCAUGAUGUCAUGGAAAUGAACCAAUGGGGGGUGCUGUUGUUGAUAUACUGUUUUUGGUGCCGUCGUUGUUGCCUGUCUUAUAAAGAGGAAUAAAAUGGUUCCAAAGAGGACUGAUGCCCCACUGUUGUGAAAUUAUUCUGGUCUAGCACUGGGUGUCCACGCCAGAAUCGCCGUGGAAUUAAUCUCUGCUAACAUUUGUGACCUGAGAGAGGGGACAGUAAACAGCUUUCACUUCUACAAAACACAGCAGCAGAUAUGUAUUAUGAUGAAAUCAUGCAAUUUCUCUCUGACAUCUUGAUGAAAUAAAGUGUUAGUUCACUUUUCUUACUUCCUCAUUCACAUGAAGUGGUUGAUUGUCAGUGAUUAUAUAAAGACCUGUUGCUUUCACACUCUUCAGUGGAUCAGCCAUGGACAAAGGUUUGCUGCUGGUCCUGUUGUGUCUGCAGGUCGUCCUGCUCACCACAGUCUUCACUUCUGCUGAUGCAGCCGCUCUGCUGAGAGAUGAUCAGCAUCAACAACCUGUUGAUCCGAUAAGAAGUCUGCAGCAAGUGAAAGAAGGAGGACAGAUGGAAAAAAAACGUCUAUUCCGGAGACACUGCGGGAGCAGACCAGGAGGAUGCACUUUGUUGGGAAGCAUGCUUCGGCCAGUACAACCCACUCUGAAACCAGACAUCUAGAGGCAAGCUCUGCAGGAAGUGCCAUCAGAUGCAGAAGACUGCAAAUGAAUGAAGACAAUUGUAAUGCUUACAAAACAAUGCAAAGGCUUUUAAUUAGAAAUAAAAGAUUUCAAAUCAGA